rnacentral:lncRNA from 1 species
GUAAAAUACACAGAUAACGGAAAGCUUUAAUUCCAGUGAAGUUCUGGCAGCAUUGACAUCAUGCAUCAUAACUUGAGAAUGAGGUAAGAGAAUGACAAUUGAAGCUUGAACCCACUGCUUUUGAAACACAGAUUUGAGAAGAUGGCCUGGUCUCUGGCACAUGAAACUAGGCCUCUGAAGAGAAGUUUCAUCUAUGAAAAAUUCACCCAACACAUAAAAUAUAGCCCAUAUUAUUUAAAUCUCCCUUAAUCAAGUAUAAUAAAUACUCUACAAAAUUAGAGCAUGAUGAAAUUCAAGGUUGAAAAGUAAUGCAUUUGGUCACUUUUCAUUUUCUAUCCCAUUAUGGUGACUAUUGUGGAUGGGAGAAUAUUAAUUCCUCAGAAGCCAACAGUCCAUUCAGUCCAAGAGACAACUUGGUGUUUGCUGCUAUAUGAUCAUGAACAGAAGGAUCCGCUUUCUGCUUGGAUGUUGGUGGGGCAUGUAAUCCUGGUCACAGCUACAAUAGCUUUUACUUUUCAACCCCUCACUGUUUGUAGAAGAUGGGAUUUAGUAUUUUGUUCGGGUAUCAGAGGUAACAUAAACUUUGAACUUACUUUUAAAAAGUGCGAGAUUGGGGCGCCUGGGUGGCGCAGUUGGUUAAGCGUCCGACUUCAGCCAAGUCACGAUCUCGCGGUCCGUGAGUUCGAGCCCCGCGUCAGGCUCUGGGCGGAUGGCUCAGAGCCUGGAGCCUGUUUCUGA